rnacentral:misc_RNA from 1 species
GAUGAAGAACGCAGCGAAUUGCGAUAUGUAAUGUGAAUUGCAGAAUUCAGUGAAUCAUCGAAUCUUUGAACGCACAUUGCGCCCCUUGGUAUUCCGAGGGGCAUGCCUGUUCGAGCGUCAUUUUGACCACUCCCGCUUGCGGGGUCUUGGGCCUUCGCCUCUGGGCGGGCCUUAAAAUCAGUGGCGGUGCCGUCCGGCUCUAAGCGUAGUAAAUCUCCUCGCUAUAGGGUUCCGGAGGGAUGCUGGCCAACAACCCCCAACUUUUAAGGUUGACCUCGGAUCAGGUAGGGAUACCCGCUGAACUUAAGCAUAUCAAUAAGCGGAGGA